UGAAAACAGUGAGCGGUACAGAAAAAAGCAGGUAAGUGAGAUGCACAAUGAUAAAUUGGAGAACUGGAUUCUGGAGGUGAAUGGAAUGUUUUCACUUACAGGUGAGAGGACUGAUGGAUGAUACGAUGGGUGACAAGACAGAUACAAUGGAGAAGGAACAAGGACAAAGCUGGGAGAUUGCUGGAUGAGCAGGAUGAAAUUACCAAGAAGCCUAUGAAGGAGUGAGGCGGCUCUCAAAUUUCAUCAAAAAUAUCUUAAUUUGUGUUCAGAAGAUGAACGAAAAUGACGGGGUUGUAACAACAUGAGCAAAAGAGAGAGUGUGAAACCAUCAGCUGUUUGCUGAUUUAUUUACUAUAGUCUGCUAAAAAAGACCUGUCCAGUGUAUACCAACAUGAAAAAAAAAAGAAAUAAUUCUUGGACUGAAAGAAAGUGAGUUCUAUUGGCAAGUACAUUUACAAUCCAAUGAAUGUUUGUCUAACAAAUGUCAGUAUAACUCCCCAAAUUAAAUAUGAUAAAUAUUAAAUGGAUAAUUAACUUACCAAAAAAAAAUAUCUUAUAUCUGUCAUCAUCUACUCGCAUGUUUUUUCAGACCUUUAUGACUC